AGUGGUCAAGUGAUGAGUACAAAGCAUAGUUCAGCUGAUAAUUCUCCGUGAUUAUUAAACUGCACGUCUUUCGCUCCUAUCUGAUGACCCUU
rnacentral:snoRNA from 2 species